GAUGAACGCUAGCUACAGGCUUAACACAUGCAAGUCGAGGGGUAACGAGAGGAAAGCUUGCUUUCCUUGUCGACGACCGGCGCACGGGUGAGUAACGCGUAUCCAACCUGCCCCCAACUAAGGAAUAACCUUGCGAAAGUAAGACUAAUACCUUAUAAUUUCCUCAGAUGUCAUCUGACGAGGAAUAAAGAUUUAUCGGUUGUGGAUGGGGAUGCGUCUGAUUAGCUUGUUGGCGGGGUAACGGCCCACAAAGGCAACGAUCAGUAGGGGUUCUGUGAGGAAGGUCCCCCACAUUGGAACUGAGACACGGUCCAAACUCCUACGGGAGGCAGCAGUGAGGAAUAUUGGUCAAUGGGCGGAAGCCUGAACCAGCCAAGUAGCGUGCAGGAUGACGGCCCUAUGGGUUGUAAACUGCUUUUAUACAGGAAUAAAGUUAGCCACGUGUGGUUAUUUGUAGGUACUGUAUGAAUAAGGACCGGCUAAUUCCGUGCCAGCAGCCGCCGUAA
rnacentral:rRNA from 1 species